UGAUGUGGAGCAAAACACAAAAAGACAGUCUCAGUUCAGAUUGUAGGCUGAAACUCGCCUAUAUGAAGUCGGAAUUGCUAGUAAUCGCAGAUCAGCAUGCUGCGGUGAAUACGUUCCCGGGCCUUGUACACACCGCCCGUCACACCAUGAGAGUCGAUAACACCCGAAGCCUGUAGUCUAACCAUAAGGAGGACGCAGUCGAAGGUGGGAUUGAUAAUUAGGGUGAAGUCGUAACAAGGUAGC
rnacentral:rRNA from 1 species